ACUGGGCAUGGUGGUGCAUGCCUGUAAUCCCAGCAUCUCAGGAGGCUGAGGCAGGAGGAUCGCAGGUUCAAAACCAGCCUCAGCAACUUAAUGAGACCCUGCCUCAA
rnacentral:sRNA from 1 species